rnacentral:lncRNA from 1 species
CACCUCUCAAGUACAUAAAAUUUGAGUUAGUUAUUGUUGAACAUCAAAUUUUGGUCGGAUGUGUCGUUUAAUAAUCAAAUCAUUCCAACAAUGAAAUGACAUAAGGCAACUUUAAAUUUGCAUUUCUUGUAAAUUCCACGUAAACAACCCAAUUACUUCAACAAGCCAUGCAAGUGAUGAUCAUUUAUUCUCCUACACAUAUACAGGUCUAAAAGCCUUGCAAUAAGAACAUGGGCUAGCCACGCCCAACCCAAACCAAACUUCUAGCUGCUAUCCCUUGCUACGGAAAAGGAAGAGGGAUUAUCGGAGAGAGAAAAUCUGAGAGGAUUGGCGAACAAACGGCUAGAAAAUCCACACCGAAGAGGAGCCAAAGUCUAAGACAGAGUCAUCUGUCGUCGCCUCCGUCGAGCACGUUAAGGACACCGAUGGUUGUAGAUUCAAUGCCUUCAAAACCGACUAGCGAAGGUUCCGUGCAACGUUAUUGGCAUCUCCAUGUGCGAGCCUUUGAGGCCAAACGGCGACGGCGCACCACCUUGAGUAAUGACCUUGUUGGGGCAUUCAAAAAAAAACCCGAAAUAACUGGAAUCGGUCCAGCGGCAAGAGAAAAGAAAAAAAAACCUCUAGGGAAGCAAGUUGUCACCAUACGCCGGCAAAGGAAAACCGACACAAAAGAAAGGACAACUUCUUAGUUAUUUUGUUUAGAAGAAAAGCAAAGGAAAAAUGAUCGAUUACAGCGGUCGAAAAUGUGAGUGGUACCGACCCUAGGGUCGGGCGGCCGCUAGAAAGGCCAAGGCAACAAAGGUAGGAGAAGGAAGGAUUUGAGAGGGAGGAGAGAAAAGUCUUCUCAGUUAAAAGAUUAUCUAACUUUUCAUCUUACUAAGACCAGAACUAUUGUAACAAAAUAAAUGCUUUCAAUAAAAUUUAAACUUAAUACUUUUUAUAUAUUAAUUUAUUCUUUAAUAAUCAAUUUAUAAUUUACACAAAUUAAUAAAUGAUGUAUGAAAAUAUAAUAAAAUAUUUUUAAUAUUAAAUAUAAUAAAUAAUAAAAAUAAGAUGAUUAUUUUAUAUACAUUUUUAAACUC